CACCCCCACCCGGCGCCUCCCCCCAGCACGGCCCUCCGCAGUGCUCGGAGCGCACGCGCACGCUCACUCGGGGCGCCAGCGGGCGGGGCGCCUCUGACAUCAUCCGCUGACCCCCACCCCCCGGCCGAGGGGCGGUGGCCGCGCAGGCUCGGCCUGACGGACACACGGACAGACCGGGCACGGAGGGAAGAGCGCGCGGUCAGGCCAUGCCCGGGGAAGCUGCCCGCGCCGAGUUGCUGCUGCCGGAGGCGGAAGGGCCCGGGCCCCGCACAGAGUCAUCCUGUGAUGUGGCCUCGGCCUCCACCCCUAGAGGGGACCGGCUGGAGCACUGUGCCCUGAGCCCGGGUCCUGGCGGCCUGGCCCUCGAGUUCCUACCCAGCAAGCCGGGUGCCCGGCCCCCGCCGGAGGGAGCCAGCUGGGAUGCGGGGCCGCGCGGCACACCCUCGGCCUGGGCGGUUCCCGCAGAAGGCAGCCCCAGCCCUGGGCCACCCGAAGCCCGGCCCGCCGGGGGUCCCCCUCCAGCCACCCUAGAGCCCCGGAUCGUGAUGGGCGAGGAGACCCGCCGGGUGCCCCUGCCACCCAGGGCAGCCCUGCCAGAGCUCAGGGACCGGGAAGGUGGGCAUCCCAGCCUGAACCCACCCUCCGAGUUGUGUUCUCAGGGUGACCCUCCUGUGCCUUGCCCUGCCCCAGACCCCGACUCCUACUUCACGCCUCCCUCCACCCCCACCGAGACCACCUGUGCCCUGCUCCUCGGCGCGGGGCCCCGCAGGGACGCCCGUGACACCCAGGCUGAGCUGGGGGACUCGCCGCCAGCCUCGCCCUCGGGCUCUUACAUCACAGCGGACGGCGACAGCUGGGCCUCGUCCCCGUCCUGUUCCCUGAGCCUGCUGGUCCCGGCCGAAGGGCUGGACGUCCCCUCAGGCUGGGGCUUCUCCCCGCCGGGGUCUGUGGCGGACGAGCAGGAGCCGUCCCCUGCCGGGCCCCCAGGGCCCCCAUCCCCGGAGUCCAGCAUCUCGGCAGACAGCAGCUCUUCCUGGGGCCAGGAUGGCCACUUCUUCGAGCUGGACUUCCUGGCCAACGACCCAAUGAUCCCCGCCUCCCUCCUGCCUUUCCGGGGCAGCCUCCUCUUCCAGGUGGAGGCCGUGGAGGUGACGCCGAGGGCCCCUGAGGAGGAGGAAGAGGAGGAGGAAGAGGAGGAGGAGGAGGAGGACGGCCGGGACUCUGCAGGGGACCCAGCCGGGGAGGGCGAGGACGACAGCACGUUCGCCUCCUCCCUGCAGUCACUGUCCGACCUCUCCAUCACCGAGGGCAUGGACGAGGCCUUCGCCUUCCGGGACGACACCUCAGCGGCCUCGUCCGACCCCGACUCUGCCUCCUACGCGGGGGCAGACGACGAGAGGCUGUACAGCGGGGAGCCCCAUGCGCAGCCCGCCGCCCUGCUCCAGGACAGCCCUGGGGGGCCGCCCGCUCCUGGGAUCUCUGAGGGAGAGGCUGGCCGGGCCAUGGAGGGCCACGAACCGGGUGCCCAGGAGACAGGGGCGGUCCCUGCUCCUGCCCUGCAGGAAGCCCCAGGCCGCCCCUGGGUGACCUUGCAGGCCUGGGGGGAGGAGGCGGGCUCCGUCCUGGGCCCAGUGCCUGUUGCCACAGACACGCUUCAGCCCCUGCAGUUGGAGGACGGCGCUGCCGUAGGCCUGGCCCCUUGCACUGCCCCGGAAGAGGGGGACCUCACACCAAGCCCAGACUCUCCGCAGACCCUGAAGCAAGAAGCAGGCCAGGACCCUGACUCUGUGGCCCCAGCCCGGCCCCCACAGGACACAGGCCUCCCCUUGGGCCGGGGACCUGCCGCUGCGGCCAGGCUUCAGAAGCUGCACGUACACACCCCAAAGAUCAAGCCUGUGGUCACCGCAGCCCAGCAGGAAGGACAAACAACCUUGGAACCGAGGCCGGCACCUGAGGAGAGGGACACAAGACACGCUGGAGGCCCGGAGCCUUCGGCCUGGAACCAAGCCCAGCUGGAAGGCGUGGAGCCAGCUGCAGACACUGGUACACUCUGGGCCUCAAGGGGAACUGCAGGCACCCCCAAGUCUGCCACGGAGGCUGCACAACCCCCACAGCCUGCCACGAAGACCCCAGAAUGCCCCAAGGUUGCCACGGAAGCCCUGGAGCACCCCAAGACUACCACAGAGGCCCCAGAACACCCUGAGCCUGUCCCAGAGGCCCCAGAACACCCUGAGCCUGUCCCAGAGGCCCCAGAACACCCUGAGCCUGUCCCAGAGGCCUCAGAACACCCUGAGUCUGUCCCAGAGGCCCCAGAACACCCUGAGCCUGCCAUGGAGACCCCAGAACAUCCUGGGCUUGCCACAGAAGCCCCAGAACAUCCUGGGUCUGUCAUGGAGACCCCAGAACACCCUGAGUCUGUCACUGAGACCCCAGGACACCCUGAGUCUGUUACUGAGACCCCAGGACAACCUGAGCCUGUAACAGAGGCCCCAGAACACCCUGAGCCUGCCACAGAGACCCCAGAACAUCCUGGUUCUGCCACGGAGACCCCAGAACACCCUGAGGCUGUCACAGAGGCCCCAGAACAGCCUGAGCCUGCCACAGAGGCCCCGGAACAUCCUGGGUCUGCCAUGGAGACCCCAGAACACCCUGAGUCUGUCACUGAGACCCCAGAACACCCUGAGCCUGUCCCAGAGGCCCCAGAACACCCUGAGCCUGUCCCAGAGGCCCCAGAACAUCCUGGAUCUGUCAUGGAGACCCCAGAACACCCUGAGUCUGUCACUGAGACCCCAGGACACCCUGAAUCUGUCCCAGAGGCCCCAGAACACCCUGAGCCUACCAUGGAGACCCCAGAACAUCCUGGGCCUGCCACAGAGGCCCCAGAACAUCCUAGGCCUGCCACAGAAGCCCCAGAACAUCCUGGGUCUGUCACGGAGACCCCAGAACACCCUGAGUCUGUCACUGAGACCCCAGGACACCCUGAGUCUGUCACAGAGGCUCCAGAACAUCCUGGGCCUGUCACCGAGACCCCAGGACACCCUGAGUCUGUCACAGAGGCUCCAGAACAUCCUGGGCCCGUCACCGAGACCCCAGAACACUCUGAGCCUGUCACAGAGGCUCUGGAACAUUCUGAGCCUGUCAUAGAGGCCCCAGAACGCUCUGAGCUUGCCACAGAAGCCCCAGAACACUCUGAGCCUGUCACAGAGGCUCCAGAACACCCUGAGCCUGUCACAGAGACCCCGGAACAUGCUGGGCCUGUCACCGAGACCCCAGAACACUCUGAGCCUGUCACAGAGGCUCUGGAACAUUCUGAGCCUGUCAUAGAGGCCCCAGAAUGCUCUGAGCUUGCCACAGAAGCCCCAGAACACUCUGAGACUGUCACAGAGGCUCCAGAACACCCUGAGCCUGUCACAGAGACCCCGGAACAUGCUGGGCCUGUCACCGAGACCCCAGAACACUCUGAGCCUGUCACAGAUCCCCUGGAACAUUCUGAGCCUGUCACAGAGGCCCCAGAACGCUCUGAGCUUGCCACAGAAGCCCCAGAACACUCUGAGACUGUCACAGAGGCUCCAGAACACCCUGAGCCUGUCACAGAGACCCCGGAACAUGCUGGGCCUGUCACCGAGAGCCCAGACCACUCUGAGCCUGUCACAGAUCCCCUGGAACAUUCUGAGCCUGUCACAGAGAUCCUGGAACAUCCUGGGCCUGCCAUGGAGGCCCCAGAAUACCCUGAGGCUGUCACAGAGGCCCUGGAACAUCCUGGGCCUGUCACCAAGACCCCAGAACACUCUGAGCCUGUCACAGAGGCCCUGGAACAUUCUGAGCCUGCCACAGAGGCUCUAGAACUUCCUGAACCUGCUAUGGAGGCCCUGGAGCACCCCAAGACUACCACAGAGGCCCCAGAACACGCUGAGUCCAUCCCAGAGACCCCGGAACAUCCUGGGCCUGCCACAGAGGCCCUAGAACAUUCUGAGCCUGCCACGGAGACCACAGAAUGCCCUGAGGCUGCAACUGAGACCCAGGAACACCCUGAGCCUGCCACGGAGGCCCCGGAACACCCAGAGCCUGCCACGGAGGCCCUGGAACACCCAGAGCCUGCCAGGGAGGCCCCAGAACACCCAGAGCCUGCCAGGGAGGCCCCAGAACACUCAGAGCCUGCUAUGGAGGCUCUGGAGCACCCCAAGACUACCACAGAGGCCCCAGAACACCCUGAGUCCAUCCCAGAGACCCCGGACCAUCCUGGGCCUGCCACGGAGGCCCCAGAAUACCCAGAGCCUACCACAGAGGCCCUGGAACAUUCUGAGCCUACCACAGAGACCACAGAAUGCCCUGAGGCUGCAACUGAGACCCGGGAACAGCCUGAGCUUGCCACGGAGGCCCCGGAACAACCUGAGUCUGGCACGGAGGCCCCAGAACAGCCUGAGCCUGGCACGGAGGCCCUGGAACAGCCUGAGCCUGCCACGGAGGCCCCAGAACACACUGAGCCUGCCACAGAGGCCCCAGAACACCCUGAGCCUGCCAAGGAGGCCCCGAAACACCCAGAGCCUGCCACGGAGGCAUCGGAACACCCUGAGCCUGCCAAGGAGGCCCCAAAACACCCAGAGCCUGCCACGGAGGCCCCGGAACACCCUGAGCCUGCCAAGGAGGCCCCAGAAUACCCAGAGCCUGCCAAAGAGGCCCCGGAACACCCUGAGCCUACCACGGAGGUCCCGGAACACCCAGAGCCUGUCACGGAGGCCCCGGAACACCCUGAGCCUGCCACGGAGGCCCCGGAACAGGCUGAGUCUGCCACGGAGGCCCCAGAACACCCUGAGCCUGCCAAGGAGGCCCCGGAACACCCAGAGCCUGUCACGGAGGCCCCGGAACACCCUGAGCCUGCCACGGAGGCCCCGGAACACCCUGAGCCUGCCACGGAGGCCCCGGAACACGCUGAGCCUGCCACGGAGGCCCCGGAACACCCUGAGCCUGCCACGGAGGCCCCGGAACACCCAGAGCCUGCCAAGGAGGCCCCGGAAUACCCUGAGCCCGCCACGGAGGCCCCGGAACACCAAGAGCCUGCCACGGAGGCCCCGGAACACCAAGAGCCUGCCACGGAGGCCCCGAAACAUCCAGAGCCUGCCACGGAGGCCCCGGAACACCCUGAGCCUGCCACGGAGGCCCCGGAACACGCUGAGCCUGCCACGGAGGCCCCGGAACACCCUGAGCCUGCCACGGAGGCCCCGGAACACCCAGAGCCUGCCAAGGAGGCCCCGGAAUACCCUGAGCCCGCCACGGAGGCCCCGGAACACCCAGAGCCUGCCACGGAGGCCCCGGAACACCCAGAGCCUGCCACGGAGGCUCCGGAACAUUCUGAGCCUGCCACAGAGGUCCUGGAACUCCCUCGGCCUAUCGUAGCAGCCCCAGAACCUCCAGAACCUGCCAGAGAGGCCCUAGAGCGCCCUGAGCCUGUCGGGGAGGCCACGGCCCCUCCCACUCCUGUCUCUGCUGGAGAGGAAGCAGUGGCGGUCCUGUUGGCACCUGAGCAGGGAACCCAUCCCGGGGCCCGUGUGCACACUGCCCACACAGCUGGGCCCUGCUCAGCCCCGAAGGAGGCCCUAGGGGGUGAGAAUUGCCGGGCUGGGGGCCUUGAGCCAGCACCCCAGGGGGCUAGGAGGGCACAUCCUGCCGCUCACCCUGAGGUAGGCCAAAGAGCAAACCAGGGGCUCGGGUUUCCCCUUGCUGUGACCUCGGAGGCCGGGCCGGGCUCCCGUGCAGAGUCCCCACUGAGGUCCGCACCCAGGCCAGGCAGGGGCUGCCCCAAAGAGCCUACCCCACACGCACCAGCACCCUGUCUGCAGCGGGAGCCUGUGCCGGGGCCGGGAAGUGGAACGUGGGCGCAGGUGGCACCAGGAGCCCCCAGCUCGUCCCCAGCACAGUCCCUGGAGAGCCCUGCCAGAGGCCCGCCCAGCGUGCCCCGGGACAGGGUCCUCGGCCCCGAGCCCUCUGCUCCCCGUGUCCCCACAGAGGCACUCCUUGCUCCCUGCCCUUGCCAGGGCCCCAGGGAAGACUCAGUGGAGGGCAAGGAGCCCUCGGGCUCUCCGGGCCUCCAGCCACCACGGGCAGGAGCCCAGCGGGCGGCAGCUGCCUUCUCAGGAACCACAAAGCCUCCAGGGGCCGGGCAUCGUGUAGGCCUCCUGCCCCACUCCCCCCUCCUCAGCCCCAAAACGGCCCCUGUGGGGGACACCCAUGCCAAAGACCAGGCCUGGAGGCUCUCGCCCCCCUGCCAAGUGCCUCCUGGCCCUCGAGGGCUCCCAGCCGCCGAGCAGCAGGAUGACCAGGACAGCCUGGAGGAAGACUCGCCACCCAGGGCCCCGGGAUCCGGCCAGGGAUCGGCCCAGCACUCCGACAGCCAUGGGGAGUCGUCGGCAGAACCAGAGGAGCAGGAACUGUCGGGAGCGCAGGGCGCACAGUGCCCAGCUCAGGUGCCUGGCCAGGGGGGAGGGCGCACCCCUGGAAGGUCACCCCCCACUCAGGGGCUCAGACCCUGUCCUCCCCAGGCCCCGGCCAGCGGUGGCAGUGAGGAGACCGUCGCCAAAGCCAAGCAGAGUCGCAGUGAGAAGAAGGCCCGAAAGGCGAUGUCCAAACUGGGCCUGCGGCAAAUCCAGGGGGUCACCAGGAUCACCAUCCAGAAGUCCAAGAACAUCCUCUUUGUCAUCGCCAAGCCUGACGUCUUCAAGAGCCCGGCCUCAGACACCUAUGUGGUCUUCGGGGAAGCCAAGAUCGAGGACCUGUCCCAGCAGGUGCACAGAGCCGCCGCCGAGAAGUUCAAAGUGCCCACGGAGCCUUCCACCCUGGUUCCCGAGUCCACGCCGGGGCCGCUAGUGAGGCCCGAGUGUGAGGAGGAGGAGGAGGAGGAAGAGGAAGAGGAAGUGAGGCCCAGGGACACAGGGGGGCCAGGGGCUCUCGGGGCUCUUCCUGGGGAGGGGGCAGCCCCAGAACCUGCCUGCUCACCUCCCCCCACCCCGCCCAGGUGGACGAGGCAGGGCUGGAGCUCCGGGACAUCGAGCUGGUGAUGGCGCAGGCCAACGUGUCGAGGGCCAGGGCCGUGCGGGCCCUGAGGGACAACCAGAGUGACAUCGUCAACGCCAUCAUGGAGCUCACCAUGUAGCCACCGACCGCCACCCGCCCGCCACGGAUCCAUCCCCACCCCCAGCUGUGCUGCUCAAUAAAUGGGUGUCUCCUCAGA